AUGAGUGGUGCUGAUGAAAAUAACAAAUAUCACUGUAGAACCUUUAUUUAAAAACUACAAAAAGCAAGUGCAUUUAUUUAUCGAUAGAAAACUCAGAAGUUGUCCUUGUUUUUGAACGUAAUAAUGCAGACGUAAACUGUCUCAAGUUUUGUCUGAACUAAUGACUCAUCUGCCUUCCUAAAUCCCAUGUGUCUUCUUAAAGGAUGUUACCCAACUGUGAACACCAGUUUUCAUUUUUUUCCGGAUUAACUGUAACCGGAUUAGUGAGGAUGUACCUUAUGCCCAAUAUCCCGGUUUAGAUUCGAACCGACCACCUCCCAAACACGAAUGAGAAGUUUUAACGCUACGCGAACCCACUCAGUUUAUAUGUGCUAAAUUCUUUUGGUGAUAACUGUGAUGCGCGCGCAUCUCUGUCACUGCGCCUGCGUUCGUUUUGAAACAAAGGGAUUCCCUGCAGUGUAGUGAGUUGUGAUGUGUCGGGUGGAAGUGAGGGAAACUCGCUUGUAAAAUUAACGAAACUUUUGUGUGUUUUAGUGACGGUUUCAAAAUGAGUGACUGAGACAAGAUGAAAAGGGCACCGAGCACGCAACGUAGUACAUUAGCAGCGACGGUUCGAACUGCGAGUGACGACGUCGACAGCUCUGAACUGAGGAACAGGAUAGCCAGAGUUCUCAGCCAGAUCAGGGUACAGAACUUAGAUGUAACUGUGCACAAACUAAAAUCCAUGGCCAUUAAGAGUGAAGAGAAACUGAGCACAUUAGUAAAAACAAUUUUUGAAAAAUCUGUAAAUGAUCCACAAAAUACUGAAACAUAUACGAAGCUUUGUGAGCAAUUGUCAGGAUUCCAGGUGGUUUCUGGUGAAAGUGAAUGUGUUUGUUUCAAAAAUCUACUGGAGAAACACUGCAGGCAGGAGUUGCAGACCUGUUUCUCAACCGAUGAAAGUGAUUCUUCACAUCAGUGGCGCCAAAAGAUGGAUAAUAUUGGUUUCAGGUCUCCAGAAGCAAGAUCAGGAGUAACGCUGACUGGGGUGGCCAAAUGGAAGAAAAUUGGGUGUGUUAUGUUACUGGGUCACCUCUUCAAGGCACAGAUGUUGACAGUGAAUGUCAUGAAAGCUGCGAUCACUAAACUGUUUUCCUUAGAAGACGAAGAUUCUUGGAACUGUCUGUGUUCUCUAUUGUUGCUCAUUGGCCGAGAUAUGGAGGCUAGUAAACAAGAUCUCGGUUCGUGUCUGACGAAAAUGAGCGAGGCUGUUAGCAAACGCCAACUCUCUGAAAGCGCGAGACAUAACCUCAAACUUGUGAGUGAAAGUAGAAGAAACGAGUGGAGAAAAGUUGAAGUUCUUCGUGGUCUGUACUGCGACUUCCCAAAGAGAGGUCCGUCAGUGAUGGGUGAAGAUCAUAAAGAGGAUGAUGAUGCAUGGGCACUGGGGACCUUGUCACAUAUUGUAGUACCACGGCGUGUACUGAGAAACCAAAUGCGCCAGGCUAAAGGCAGGUUCAACCAGACUUAACUGCAACAAGCCCACCUAGGCCCGUGUCCCAAUUCUUCCGUUUGGUCCAUAUUACAUGCACGAACUGUAUUGCAGUAAUAAAGGACUGGAAAUGUGAAUGACCGUAUUAGAGGAUGUGACGCUGUCGGUGUCAAGUUCCGGAUGAUGGCGAUAGGAUAAGUGGUGAAUGAUGAGUUGGAAAAGAUUUGGAAUUAAGUGGCCUUGAUCAUAUCGAGCUACUGCACAAGCACUUGCCUUGAGGAAAAAAAGAAAAUCGCGAAAAACCUCAGUGUAACAGGCAGUUCGGCCGAGGUUCAAACCGACCGGCACAGCGACCUGUUAGCUAUUUGUGUGCUCCGUAUAGUUCUCACAAUAAACAGCGACUGUUUCCCUAAACAGCUUUAACCAGUUGGACUUUGUAGCGGAGACGUAAUGUGUUUCCUGUGAGAUACGAACUGAAUCAAUAUGUAAUAUUUUGAAAGCUUAGGUUCGUUGUUCUUUAAUUUCAGAAUAUUUGCAGCCUUAAGUGAUAUUUUAUCAUAACGAUAGGGAACGGCACAUCAUCUGAUCAACCUGAUAAUCUUCAGAGUGGAGAUAACACCGCUGUGUUUGCUUGAACUGGCGAGUGCCUGUAAGCCGUAUCUCACAGAUAAAUGUGUCCACGGAAUUUGCGCAGAACGUGAAGUGUCGUCAGAUCCAUUGGCCCUUCUAAGCAUAUUUAUUGUCACGUUUUAGGGGUUCCUAUAGACGGGGUAUGGAUUGGCCACUUAUCACUUGGAACUACAAUUACAGCGCUAUCACUGAUCUCCACGCUUUAUAGAUUACUGCUGCAAACAUUAAGACUUCUGCAGCCUGCAGUGUCUUCACUACCCGUUCCAUGGUAACGGCUUGUAACAGUGUAGAUUCUUCAGCUUCCCGCGCUCAGGUCCUUCCUGUCCAGCGAAUAACCUGAAACUGAACUCUCUAUAAUUCGCCUCAGUCGGCCUGGGCGCCUCGUUAUAUCCUUGGGCCGGGCCCAACAGAAAACGCCGCCUUCAGUUUUUCUAUUAUUACGGGCGGUUGCCUAGACAUAGCUAGGAUAUCGUUGACGUGUUUACCGGCUGUUACCAAGCAACGCCUGUUGUCUCAUUGCUUGUUUCGAGGCCUUUGCCUAGCAACGGGUCUCUACGCCACAAUAUAAACACAGUCUGCGUGUCCAUUUCGAAGAUCGCUUUGUUACUGCCUUUUUGGGAGACAGCUUAUUGUGAGAAUCAUACUUAACCUACACAUAUUCUCCUUUUGAUAAUGUUAAAGCAGGUGGUACAUAUGCUUUAAAAUACGAAAUCGUUAAAUCUUUUUAUAGGACGAUAAUGUAAUGGGAGCUGUGGGGGCCAUUAUCUGUUGUUUCGUGAAACAAACAAAACCUCUCUAUAUCCUGGUGCUUUGUCGUACAAAGUCGGAGUCUUGUGGGCAGUUCUGAUAACAACAACGAGAUAGGAACACAAGAGGCUGUCCAUAAGGGAAACAAAUAACAAUAGGGUUAAAAUAUCAAAUAAUUUUAUUAAGUAGAUAUCAAGGUCGGGUGGGGGCGGGAGAUUGGCUGCGUCUGUGCCCCGAUCCUCAAUGGGCUCACCACUGCUUUCAUGCCGCCGAAAGUUCUGUGCAGAUAUUCACAUACAAAGGAAACUUUAUAAGCAUGAGCUUCAUCAUUUACAUUUGCAUGACCCAGCCUCAGUUACCAUAGCAACGAAUUAUCCAGCGUCAAUACUUUUUAGGAAAUAAGUUACGGAGCAGGUCAAGAACAAGUCCCAGUAUAUCGUCAUUAUUCCGUCAGUAUAUUCAGUAUAUCGUCAGUAUUCCGUCAGUAUGUUGUAUAUCGUGUCUAUUCUGUGAGUACUAAUAAUAUUUUGCUUUGGAUAUGUGCCGUGUAAUGAAUAUAGCACAUUAAGUAGACAGUUUACGAUUGUAUGUUUGUAUGUGUUAUUCUUGGGAGAUGGCAUUAAACGUCGGCCUCGACGUAUCAUUCGAUAACACUUAAGACUGGAAAAGAAUACGGGAGAAAGUAGUGGAACUUGGUAGUACGAAAGCUUAUUGAAAAGUGGUGAGACUUCCUGCUGAACUCUCAAGUAAUGUUACGUGUAUAUUGUAUGUAUAUGUAGUAAACCCUUGCUAAUCCGGACUAAUUGGGGGGUCGUCAGGGUUAAGCGGUAAUCCGGAUUAAUGAAGCAAAAGAUAGCUCUAAAAGACAAAAACUAAUUACAACACAAAUAAAUGGAGACUUCAGUGAUAAAAAUAGUGCUGAUGGAAAUAAAUAAAUAAUAAUAAUAAUAAUACAAUAUCACUGCAUCAAUUUCUUCAUCUCUCAUUCAUCCAGCUGAAGCCAAUGUUGGAUAUUUUCUUGCGUGGUUUCAGUCUCUCCAGCUGCCCUCAGCA